rnacentral:snRNA from 1 species
GAGCAGCACGUAUACUAAAGUUGGAAUGAUACAGAGAAGAUUAGCAUGGCCCUAGUGCAUGGAUGACAUGCAAAUUCAUGAAACAUUCCAUAUUUGA